UACGAAGGGUGCAAACGUUGCUCGGAAUUAUUGGGCGUAAAGCGCACGUAGGCGGUAUCGCAAGUCCCAUGUGAAAGCCCACGGCUUAACCGUGGAAGUGCAUGGGAAACUGCAGUACUUGAGUACUUAAGGGGAUAGCGGAAUUCCCGGUGUAGAGGUGAAAUUCGUAGAUAUCGGGAGGAACACCAGUGGCGAAGGCGGCGAUCUGGGAAGAUACUGACGCUGAGGUGCGAAAGCGUGGGGAGCAAACAGG
rnacentral:rRNA from 1 species